GGUAACCCUAGUCAUAUGCCCUUAACAUAAUAGGAUCUGUUCUCAGAAUAAAGCAGCACAUUUAUUCAUUUGGAGACGUUUAUGCCCCACCUUUGAACUGAGCUCUUGGGAUAGCUUGCAGUAAAUUUUACAUACAAGAAAUCUGACAAUCAGGAUAGCAGAGCCCCUCAGAGGAAAGGGCUACUGUAUCUUGUGGCUCCUGGUAGAAGAUGGAAAACGCAUGGCCAUAUUUGUGUGUGGGGGACAUAUAUGAGGGAUGGGGAACAUGUCACCCUCAUAUGUUGUUGGGCUCCAACUCCCACCAGCCCCAUCCAGCAUGAGCCAGUGGUCAAGGAUGGUGGGUAUCAUAGUCUGCAGCAUCUGGAAUGUCACAGGCAGUAAUGUAGUGGCAAAUCCAGAAGUUGCAGGGUCCCUUUAUGAUGCUCACAGCCACACACACUUCUAAGAAGACACACUUUUAUGAGACUAUACAAUAGCAUCAUCAUCAUCAUCAUCAUAGAUGUAAUGCAUCCAUCACUGCAGAUGUUCAUGUUUUGCCUUUCAGCUAGAUUUACUAUUUUCUGUGCAUACACAUGGGCAAAUGAUUUGGAGUGCUCCAGUAUCUUUUUCAGUGUUGCUUAAGUUGUGCUUUCCUUGUUCUAUUGUACGUAGCAGAACUUGUACACCAUUCUUUUGAAACUGAAGUGACUUGUGCUUCCUAAAUGUUUAGCUUUGGAACAUACAGAGCAACUUCUCCUGGGUGGUAUUCCUGCUUUUCCAGAGUGACCCUAGGAGCCGAUUCUCAGUGGUUGACUCCCCUCCUUUCAUUCUGAUUGGUUUCUUUUAGAGCAAAGGGUGAGAAUACUUCCUCUCAGUGGCUAAGGAACUCUCUUUCCAUGCUGAUUGUGGGGCUCUGGGAUACUGGAGACAGGGCCCCUGUUGGGCCCCUCCUGCAGAAAUAGUACAGUAAUGGGUCCUCAACCACUCGCAACCCCAGACUACUACACUUCUGGUCUCAGGUUCCAAAUCCCUCGUGUAUGUAAACUGAUAAUGAAAACAAGGCAAAAGGGUAACACUUUCCAUUUUGUAAAAUGGACUUUCUCUUGUACUGUAUGCCUUAGUAAAUGAUAAUGACUGCCUUUUGAGUGUUUGAAACUUUUGAGUCUUUGAAAAACACAAACCAAAAAGAGUUGGUUAUGGAUUUCUUUCUCAUAUACCUUGCACAAACUUAAAUUACUAGUUACAUUUAGAGGGGGGGACUUUUGUUGAAGGAAUAGGUUUUAUAAACAUCACCCAGCUCUAUGCAUUUAAACUACAAAUCAGAAAAUAAUGAUAUCUGAUCAAUAUUUCUGAAAUAUUCAAAGCAAUCCUAUAUAUGUCUAUUUAAAACAAAGUCUCGCUGAUUUCGGAAGGGCUUGCUGGGGAGUAAGUGGAUAUAGGAUUGCAGCCUUAAUUGCUCUUUCUGUUUACAAGCAGUUUUCAGGUGACUUUAAGAUACUGUUUUAAAACAAUUUGGGGGAGGAACAGGACAGUGCCAGGAUGAACCACCUGAUCUAAAGCAUGAGAAGGUAGAUUGUUGGGAAAGGAGAAGAAAUCCCUUCUGCGAGCCCCAACAGCAGGGAAAGAAAUUUAACCUUUGUAGUGGGAAUGGCUCCCUCCUCCAACAGCUUUGCAUGCGUCAGCCACAAAAAUAGCAACAUCAGGAACAAAGCUCUGUCGGUUAAUGAAAAAGAAGGCGAGAAGAGAGAGAGAGAGAGAGAGCCUACUCCAAGUUGCACUAAUCGAAUCCUCUCCCAUGAUAACCAGGCCACCUUGUUAAGUUCCUGUCGAAAAAGUGCAAAGUUUGAGUCGAAAGAUCAUAGUGUUUCCGCUUGUGUUUCUCCUUCUAGCUUGCUUGCGUCGGCUCUGUGGUCACUUUUAGCCAUGUCAGCAUGUUGAAAAUUGCUGAUGGUAAACACCAGAGGUAUGCAUUCACAGUAUUGGAGAAACCACAAAGAAUAUUGCCUGGGGGUGGGGGCGGGGAGAGAAAUGGUAAACUUUCUCAUUGUGACAUAUUCAUGCUAUCCCGGCUUUUUUGUGAAGACUUCUGGAAAAUACUAGAUGCGGGGGUGGGGAGUGGCGUUGACAGUAUAAUACAGAAGUUUCUAGUUUGCUUUUCUUUACUAGAAGUGUUAAUUGGAAUCUAAGAAACUGGAGGGCAGAGGAGCAAGAUACAUUUUGAGCCUCUUGAAUUACCCGCACAUAUAUCUUUCUUCUUUAUAUUUCUGUUGUGAUUGACAGCCAAAUCGGAAUAUACCGGUAUGUUACGAACAAGAAGGCUACAGAUAGUAUGAAUACAUUAGUAACAUGUGGCUAAUAUAGUCACACUGCAGGCAUUGGGCAGAGCAUGCAGCAUUCAUAUAUUAAAACUAUAACCUUCAAACGUGAAGAAUUUGAUUUGCUAGGUAUGUUGAUGAAUGGACUAAAAAUGAUGGGUUGUUUUAUUUAUUUUAUUCUUAUUACACUAGAGCCUGGUUAGCUUAGUUGGUUAGAACCUGGUGCUGAUAACACCAAGGUCGCAGGUUCCAUCCCUGUAUGGGACAGCUGCAUAUUGCAGCACUGCGAGGGGUUGGAUUAGACUGAGGAUCCUCAAGGUCCCGCCCAACUCAAGAAUUCUAUGAUUCUAUGAGCCAGUAUUUUGCUAUUGAUGUUUCAGAAAGAAAAAGAAAAGUAUUUCACAGUAGUCAUGAGGCCUAGAAGCCUGCUUUAAUGGAAUCUGGCCUUCUCAGCAGUACAAGAACCAGCAACCUUCAUAAAACUGGUUUGUGAAUUUUUUUAUGCCAUGCCUUGGACCUUAUGCUAUGCAUGCCACUAUUGCAGAGAUGAAAUUGACAGUUUUGAGACGCCUUCUAAAAUAUGGCUGUUGCUUUCCUGGCUGGGUUACUGUUUCCAAAGGGGGGGGUGGGACUGGAGAAAAAAACGAAUGAAUAGUGUUUAUUGUUUUCUGCUGAUUUUGUCACUCCCUGUUGUUUAAUGCACAC